AAACGCUGGGUUAUUUUAAUAACCCAAUUGCUGGGUUAAGGCUGUUGGGUUAUAGGUUGGGUAGAUUUGACCCAACGUUGGGUCAAAGAUUGUGACCCAACACGAUGGGUUAAAUGAAAGCGAGGCUCGUUCUUCCGCCAUUUCUGGACAGAAGGCGCCAGGACGUCAACGACCAUAGCUGCCGGAUUCAAGUCCCAGCCCCGAACCGGCUGCCUUCAGAGCAACGCAGAGCUUCUUUGGAACAAGGAGCAACAUUUAAUAUCCGUAUGAGAUCCUUAAGACAGCUGAUGGAAAAUGCAUGGUUAGUGGUCCUGAGGAACAGAAUCACAUAAAUAAUGAAAGACGUGCCAUGGUCCGGAUACUUGUGUCCCACUAGUUGUGCACUUUGGAGAGAAGUAAGUAUUUUUCACACACAGAUUAUUUUAUUAUUUUUAAGUUGUGGGCUAGUUCUUCACUAAUGUGAACUGCAUCUAAACUACUUAUCUCAUCCCUUUGAUCUGGGAUCAGUUAGUGCAAUCUUGAUUUAUAUUUUUAUUUUAUAUUAUUUUUUUGAUAAUUACUGUAAAAAAAACUGUCAAUAUAUUGUGUUAUGUGGUAGUGUUAAAUGUUAAUAAAAUUCAUAUUGUUGUCAAGUCCAUCUUCAGGUGCAAAGGCUAUGCUGGCAUCAUCAAUUGUGGAUCAGUUUCCAUGCCUGAGGGACUGUCAAGGCACAGGCUAUGGAAGUUUUUAACCACACAAUAAUUAACUGACCUAAAGCAAAUGUGACAAUCCCUGCUAGGGCUGUGAUGGUUGGUGAGAAAGCAGUGUAUCACGUAAUAUGGGGGUUAAAAACCUGUUAUGAGAGUAGUGUGGCAGGUGCCUUAAAUCAGGGACAGUGUGGCCGCAGAAGGAAAGCGAGCGGUGAGAGUAGCAUUUAUGAGUGCAAGAGGAAAAAGAGAUGAAAAGAUAAUGCAAAGUGAGUUAAAAGUGAACAACAAA